GGUGGUAGCUCAGUGGUUAAACUGUUGGACUUUUGCUCAGAAGGUUAUGAGUUCAACUCUCAGUACUUAUCU
rnacentral:tRNA from 1 species